UAGGGAAUAUUGGGCAAUGCUCGCAAGAGUGACCCAGCCAUGCCGCGUGAAGGAUUAAGGCCCUCUGGGUUGUAAACUUCUUUUCUCAGGGGCGAAAAACCGGGAUUCAUCCCGGCCUGACGGUACCUGAGGAAUAAGCACCGGCUAACUCCGUGCCAGCAGCCGCGGUAAUACGGAGGGUGCAAGCGUUAUCCGGAAUCACUGGGUUUAAAGGGUACGUAGGCGGUUCUAUAAGUCAGUAGUGAAAGACCUCGGCUUAACUGAGGCAUUGCUAUUGAUACUGUAGAACUUGAAUUAGGUUGAGGUUGGCGGAAUGUGUCAUGUAGCGGUGAAAUGCAUAGAUAUGACAUAGAACAUCAAAUGCGAAGGCAGCUGACCAAACCUAUAUUGACGCUGAGGUACGAAAGCGUGGGGAGCAAACA
rnacentral:rRNA from 1 species